rnacentral:rRNA from 1 species
UACAGAGGUCCCGAGCGUUGUUCGGAUUCACUGGGCGUAAAGGGUGCGUAGGUGGCUUGGUAAGUUUGAUGUGAAAGCUCAGGGCUCAACCCUGAAAUGGCAUUGAAUACUACUGAGCUGGAGGUUUGGAGGGGGGACUGGAAUUCUCGGUGUAGCAGUGAAAUGCGUAGAUAUCAGGAAGAACACCAGUGGCGAAGGCGCUCUACUGGGCCGUAACUGACACUGAGGGACGAAAGCUAGGGGAGCGAAAGGG